rnacentral:RNase_P_RNA from 1 species
CCAGGGGGCCGGGCAGCCGCGUCAUCGCAAGAUGCCGAGGAAAGUCCGGGCUCCACGAAACAAGGGUGGCGGGUAACGCCCGCCGGGCGACUUGCUUGCAGGGAAGCCCAGGGAAAGUGCCACAGAGAGCAGACCGCCUCGCAAGAGGUAAGGGUGAAAGGGUGCGGUAAGAGCGCACCGGGGCUCUGGUAACAGGGCUUGCAUGGCAAACCCCACCCGGAGCAAGACCGAAUAGGGGCGGCGCGUCCUUCGGGACAGGCGUGUUUCGCGCCCGACCGCCCGGGUUGGUUGCUUGAGCCGCGCAGCGAUGCACGGCCUAGAGGAAUGGCUGCCCCGGCCGAUACGGUGCCCCAUGGCAUACCGUCGGCCGGACAGAACCCGGCUUACAGGCCCCCUGGCGAA